rnacentral:rRNA from 1 species
UACGUAGGGUGCGAGCGUUAAUCGGAAUUACUGGGCGUAAAGUGUGCGCAGGCGGCCGCGCAAGUCGAGUGUGAAAGCCCCGAGCUUAACUUGGGAAUUGCGCUCGAAACUACGUGGCUGGAGUGUGGCAGAGGAAGGUGGAAUUCCACGUGUAGCGGUGAAAUGCGUAGAGAUGUGGAGGAACACCGAUGGCGAAGGCAGCCUUCUGGGCCGAAAUUGACGCUGAGGAGCGAAAGCGUGGGGAGCAAACAGG